UUGUGACUGUUACGUGCGAUGCUCUGGUACCGCUCCAUAGCGACUUCAGCUUCCACAUGUUGACCCUUCUGUAUGGGUAUUGCGCAAUAAUCUGGCAGGAGAGACACUGACUGCCACUGCUGUCUGUUUUGUUUUGUGUUUGUUUUGUUGUUGAUACAGUUGCUUUGAUUUUGCUGUGUUUCCAUUUAUUCUCAUCUGCAUUAUUUAGCCUUUAGUUUCAAUAGGUGGUCUCUGUUAAUGUUAUUUUUCUUUGUUACAUUCUUCCAGCCCUUUGUGGCGCUCACUGCUUCCCCCCAAGAAGUUAAUAACAUAGUGUGCUGCCACACAGCACUAAUAUUGUGAGUUUAACACGUGUUUUCUGUGUCUGUGUGAGUGCUACAGGAGUGGUGGGAGGUGUGGCCGUCAAGACGAUGAGGGAUUCGGUGAUAGAGUUCCUCACUUGUGCUUCACAUAAUCACACCCCUAUAAUCGUAUGUUUGUUGGUAAUUUUUGCACUUCCUUCACAAUUCAAAUUCUUUCCCUUAUUGUUUUGCUUUACUCAGUGUGUGUAUGUGUGUAGAGCACGGCAGCAUGGUGAGUACUCUGUCCCAGUAUAACUUUUCUCCUUUCACUGUCUGCAGCUACAGCCGAUCAUCCUUUAGCACUCCCCUUUUCUUAUUGUAAUUUGCAUCUUUAAGUAUUUUUGCUUUUUUGUACAGUUUUUAAAUAGAUUAGAUUUAAUAAAUGUCCUGUUUUUAAUAUCUUGUUUAAUCGUUAGUAGUUGUUAAAUUGUUGAGGCGGAUAAUACAUUUUGUAAUCUUGGGGGUGUUCCUUGUCUCCAUCCAUCAUUUACUGUCACAUGUAUCAUUAUAAUGGAUCUGUAGGCUCUUAGCUGGUUUGGGUUGAGUAUUAAAUGGUCAGUGUAGCCUGUAAUUUUAAAACCAAAUCUGGGCCUUGCCAUGGCCCUGCCACAUUCUGGUGUAGUUGGCAGGAUACAGUGAUGGUGUAGGUGGGCUUAUGAGACAAGGAUUGUUUUUUUCUUCUUUAGUUCAGAGUUUUUGUUUUGUUUGUUUGUUUUUGUUUGGUUUAAACAAAUCAGCAGUGUGCACAUUGAGGGACCUGCUGAGCACCAGUGCCACCCUGUCUUGGGUACUCCAACUAGGUUGAAGUGCUUCCAUUGACUGUGCCUUUACUGACUCCUCCUCAUUUCAGCCAUGGCCAGAGAGCUCUAAGAAUUGAAAGACUUGGUCCAGCAGCUGCAGGCUGAAAAGGAAAAGCUACUGCAGGAGCGAGGAGUAGUCAAUUCACCCCACUUGGCCCUCAAUACUCUGCUCCCAAUUAUCCUUUCCCUGUUGAAUGAUUGCUUUAUAUUCUGAGGGAAUGAACAUGUCCACUUCUGGGAUUCCAGUGGAGCAUUGGGUUGAAGAGAUGAGGGCCACUCUGAGAACCAGACAGCUGAGACUUCUUGAUCAAGCUUAUUUUGUACAUGAUCAUCUGUGGGGGGAAGCCAAAAAUGAGAUAAGGUACCGGCCUAGAGCAGAGACAGAGGACCCAAGAAAAUUUUAACUAUUCUUCAAGAUUUGUAUGGUUGUUCUAAAUCUUAUAUCUCUUUGCAGCAGAGUUUUUUUCUAGGAAACAGCAGGAAGGAGAAUCACUUCAAGAUUUUUCACAUGCAUUAUGCUGUCUCAUGGAAAAGGUUGAAUGUUGUGCCCCACGAGGAAUGCACAGUGCCCCCACCCUUCUUAGAGAUCAGUUUGUUGAACAUGUUCUUGACUCUAAUCUUCACAGAGAGUUAAAGGGAGUAGUGCUGCAACAUCCUGAUUACACUCUCCUAGACGUGAGAGCAGAGGCCAUUCGCUGGGAGUGGGAGGGAUGACCUGAUGAGCCUAGGGGUAGGAGUUAUUCAGUGCCUUCCUUUAGUGCCAUGCAGUGUUCUGAGGGUAGGGCAUCUACUAGUUCUGGUAGCACAGAAAUGGCAAAGUUAGAGCACAUGUUACAGAAACAACAAAAGCAGCUUAAUCAAUUGACACAGGGUCCAUUAGUGCUACACGCAGCCUCCAGGCCCCCUGCUAAAUCAAUAUGCCCAAACACUGUUAUAUGUAGGUGUUGUCAAAAACCAGGUCACUAUGCCAGGGAGUGCCAUUAUGAAUGUGUUAAUUCACAGGUUCAGCAGUCCAGGGCCUCACAUCCCGCAGCAGCAACCUCUGCUGCUCAGGAUUUGGGAAACCUCUUCCCCCUGAUGUGAGGAGCCAAACAUUAGGAGGGGAGGACAGCAUUUCAGAUGUACAGGGACCAGCUGCUCAGACCAUUGCCCCUAAUCUGGUAGCACCUUGCCCUAAGAGGAUGAGCACCUUAGUUGCCUGGACUUAGUUUUGGGCUGCUUCCGAAAGGAGGGAUUAAAGGCCAAGCUUGAGAAGUGCCAUUUCUUACAACAACAGGUAUCAUACUUGGGGCAUGUAAUUUCUGCUGCAAGAUUACUGCUGUGGCUGACUGGGCAAAUCCAGGUCAUGUAGAAGAGCCAACUGCAGGUGAAGCCUGUGACUGGGUCGGGGAGCAUCAGCAAUGACUGCAGGUGGCAGUGGAGAAUGCCUUGGAAAGGAUGAAGCAGGUUGCAGUCCAGCGGAAGGAGAGAGCAGACCAACAGGCCCAGAAGGAGGUGUUACCAGCAGGACAACAUGUCUAUCUUCAGGACUAUUCCAUAGAGGAAGGAAUAAAAUCCAGGAUGUCUGGGCCCCCAAACUUUUCCAGGUGGUGAAACCUCCCGAGCAAGGAGGUACAGUGUAUGCUGUUGCCUCACAACAUAGGCCGACAGAGAUAGCAACAAGAAGAACAAGAGAAAACAAAACAGGUUCCUGCUGGUCAUCCUGUUCCUGUGGCUAGGCCUAAACCAGCUAUGACAAGCCCUGACACUGAGGAGUGUGAUCCGUGCGUGGUGGUCAGAUGUGUGACUAGACCACAGGACCCCCGGCCUGUCAGAGUACAGACCCCACCUGAAGUGGACCCAGUGCUUCACUCUGCAAUAUCUAUGGCGGCUUCACCUGAGGCUUCGACUUGUACCAGUUCCUACACAGCCCCCUGUCCUAAGGUGGUAAGAAAGUCUACCCAUGACACAGCCGGUAAACACUCUAAUCCCCACAUUUGCCAGUGACAGUAAGGAGUAGAGCAACUGAGGCUACAAAUUCCCAGACACUUGGCUCUAGUAGUUCCACCCUAGCUCUCAUCAGACCCUGGUCUAAGUAAAUUUUCAGGCUGCCAAUUUAAGAACCCCAGGGAAGAAUGUAGCUAGUAAUGUCCCUCCUGUGCUACAUAGGGCCAAUCAUCCUUUAGCACUCUCCUUUUCUUAUUUUAAAGUGCAUCUUAAAUUAUUAUGUGGGCAAUCACAGCCAUUGCCACACACUGACGUGCUGACACGCUACUGUAAGUGUAUUGUGUCAUUUCUGGUUGCUGACUGUGUUUACUGAUAGCAUUGUUGCUGCGCUCAACUCAGUUGAUUUUGCUAUAUUUCAUAUUACUAUAGAUUAAUACCUGCUGUAUAUUUAAACUUUCGCUAGGUCUACACAAGCACUCUCAGCACUUUCCCUCUUAGUGACUUUUCUCACCAAUUGCACAGUUGUUAGUUAUUUUAGCUCUGCAGCUAACAUUAGCAGCUAACUUAAACUAAGCAGUUAGCGAUGGCUUCUCUCUCUCCCUCUCG